GAACUGAGAUCGUAAAAGCUUGUGGUAGGCAGUAGUCCAACCUUCUGAAGGCAACAGGGACGAUGCCAGCGCGGUACUGUGCAAUUUGGAGGAAGGCAGGCUCCGCGAGGUCGAAGUGUUGGAGAGGAGGGUUGCACCACCCGCCAUUGUUGUUGGCCAAAGCGAAGUUGGGGGGGCAAAAGUUGGUUGCAGUGACGGUGAUGGAGCCAGGGAGGCACCACCUGGGGUCGUUGUCGCAUCGCAUUUCGAAACAAGCUCCGCAGCUCAGCCCAUUGUUGAACAGCGCGGUGCUCAGCGCCGCUGUGUUGGUUCCGUACCCCUGGCUGUACAAGUUCCCAUACCCACACGCUCCUCCUGCAAAAACCCAACUCCACCGUUAAUAAAAAAGUGAGGAAAUGGAUGAAGGAAGUGAGUUUCAGUGGGCUUAAAUCUUCGGGGUAUAUUCACUUUACGUACCCAUUGUGCCGGAGGCGUCACCGCCGCCGUAGAAGGUGGCGUGGCCGCCCUCCCAGCCACUGUAGUCGGCGGAGGCUGCGAGCAUUUGUAGAGUGAAGAAAGCGAAGAAGAAGAAGAGGCCAAAUGGAGAUGGUCGGUUGGCCAUUGGGGAGAAACACUAAAGAGGAGAGGGUGGGUUUGGUUUGUACUGAAGGAAAGAAGAGAAACGAGAGUGAUAUUUAUAAGGAGUCCUAACACCCUCCCCUCCCUUGACCCAUUAGCUUUGGGUUUAUGGCACCCCUUGAAAAAAAUACUUCAUGACUACUAAAAUCUCAAAAGUGAUUUUUUUUUCUUUUUACUUUUCUUAUUAAGUUG
rnacentral:lncRNA from 1 species